CCUACGGGGUGCAGCAGUAGGGAAUCUUUCACAAUGGGCGAAAGCCUGAUGGAGCAACGCCGCGUGCAGGAUGAAGGCCUUCGGGUUGUAAACUGCUUUUAUAAGCGAGAAAUAUGAUGGUAACUUAUGAAUAAGGAUCGGCUAACUACGUGCCAGCAGCCGCGGUCAUACGUAGGAUCCGAGCAUUAUCCGGAGUGACUGGGUGUAAAGAGUUGCGUAGGUGGCAUAAUAAGUAGCUAGUGAAAUCUGGUGGCUCAACCAUUCAGACUAUUAGCUAAACUGUUAAGCUCGAGACCGUUAGGGGUAACUGGAAUGUCUAGUGUAGGAGUGAAAUCCGUAGAUAUUAGAAGGAACACCAAUAGCGUAGGCAGGUUGCUGGGACGGUUCUGACACUAAGGCACGAAAGCGUAGGGAGCAAACGGGAUUAGAUACCCGUGUAGUC
rnacentral:rRNA from 1 species